UUCAUAAUUAUUUUUUUAGCUGGAAAAUUACUUCGAACUUUUUUCAACAGAAUUAUGGAAUAUUUGAAUAUAUAAGAAAGAAGAUUUAUUUAUUUUUUGGACAUGAAUUGAAAUAAUGGAGGAAAAAUAGAUUGAAGGACGUAUUUUUUUAUUCAUAAGAAAUAUCGAUAUAAUUUGUAACUCGUGUCACGAUCAAUGAAGAUGUGACAUAAUAACGGAAUGAUCAGAAUCAAACGUAUUCACAUCUUUUUAUUUGUUCUCACUACUUCUGGAAUUUUAUGACAUUGCUUUCGGAUAGAUAUGAACAGGUGUAAACGUUUGAAGUGCAUUAGAGCAUUUAGAAAUCCAUUAAACUAAUAUGUCAUGAAAAAAGAUUUAAAUUCAAAUUCAAUUAGCAAACACGAAGGUAACAUCGUUUCUGUUUAUUUAUAAAUUUUCUUUACGUUGAAUCAUGUUCAAAAUCGUUGUAUAAAAUUGCAACGACAUUGGAAAUAUCGGUGUUAAAUAUUUCAGAGAUUACAUUACUCUCGCAGAGAACGAGGGAAACGGAAGAAAGGAAGCAGAUUAUCGACACGAUAUUUACCAGUUGGCAAAUGAAAGAAUAAGCAUUCUAUUUUUAAUGUGAAGCCACUGUUGGUAGACAGAUUUUGUGGGAUCUAUGGCACGCGUCCGAUGUUCAUUAACCGCCAUUGGACCGAGAAAGAAAGAAAGGGAAGGGAAAAGAACGUGUGUCAUUUAGUAUGCGGCAUCUUUUAACCAUCUCAUAGAUGGGGAAACGGAAAAAGCGCAAAAAUGUUAGACGCGAUUCAUCGAGACACGCGUCACUUUUGCUUCAGAGAUGAGUGAAAUUUCCUCGAACUUGAUGUCACAGACACAUUUUAAGAGGCGAAAUCAUGGAAAUUAUAGGAACGAUAAAUAUACAUUUAAAAAAAAAAAUAAUGAAUUUUUUUUAUGAAAUGAUAAAAAAAGUGUAAGGACAAAUUAAAAUUUUUAAAUUAAUUCCCCUUAGAUAGAAAGUUAUUACACAUAUUUUUUCCUAUGGAAUUCCAUUAAAAAUAAACGUUAUAUUUCUAUGAGAUCAUAUAUUUACGACCCUCUGUAGUAUUUUAUUAAUACCAAGUCGUUAUUAAUAAAAUGACAUAUUUAUUUUAGUCACAUAUUAUCGAUUAUAACAUCCCCACGAUUAUUUAAUAAUAUCACCUACAAACAAUAUUUCUCAAAAGAGUUUUAUUACCUUUUUUUUCUUGCUACUAAUUGAACAAUGAACUACGUAAUGAAGGAUGAAACGUUGUACCUUUAUCGAAAUGGAUUUUUAUUCGAUUUCCAGGGGGUUUUAAAGGGGAGGGGAAAAAUGAAAAGCGAGGUUUUUCCUCGCAAGUAUAGGGAGAGCGAUGUCGUUGGUGCAAACAGAGACUAUGCAGUGAGAGACUAUGCAAGCAACGGACUUUUUGGUCGGCGAUUGAAUGAAUGCCACGCGAGUUAGUCAGCGUCGCGGUGCUAAAUUCGGCGGACGCCUGGCGUCGCUCCAGAAGAACCACCCAGCGCACCAACCUGCUUCUAUCCUGCAAGCCACCAAUGAAACUGCGAGAUUCGACGCCGUUUUCUUAUUUGCUUGCCACCUUCUUUCGUCCCGCAUCGAUGUUUCACGAUGCCUCUCUUAUGUUCCUCACGAAAAUACGAUGCCGAGAGUGUUAAGCUCCGUUUAUCGACGCUCAUAAAUCUUUUGCACCAACGGAAUAACCAUUCCGAUUUGAGUAUUAUAGUUUAAUGUUUCUUAUUUGAGAAAAUUAUCGAUGAACAUUAACAAAUGUAAUGAUUCGAAGAACAGGUGUCUCGGGAACGCUAUUGCAAUCGCGGUACUAUCGACGUUGGACCUAAAAAUAAAGUCACGAGUGUCGAGCAGCAUCUCGAUUGACGCAACUAUGAAACUUGCCAACCUUUUCCCAGCGAUGGAUUGUCAGUAUCCUAGGCUUCUGUGUGUGUGUCAUCGGAUACGCGUAAACAGUAAUUUACUUCUACAUUAAUAAACCGACGGAUAGAUGGGACGCAUCCUACAGGUGCCUGAACGCGGUUUCGAUGGAACGUGUCGCGUAAAACGUAUGUAUUUUCGGCGUACUUGGAGAAGCUCCAGGUGCGGAGGAGGAAGUACGUGUAAACCGAGGGAAACAGAGAGGCUGGAUGGAGAGUGGCGAGACCACGUGCGUUGCCAUUUUUCGCAAAAAUUAAGCUUUAAAUCGUAAAUAAUCUAACGUUUCAUCAUAUUUUUCUCAGUUUCUUCUUCAAUAAUUUCUCAAUGGUCCUCUUUUUCGUCUUGUCGAAGAAGAGGAAAAUCUUCCUUGGAAAUUCGAGAAAGGAAAGAUUUUUUUUUUUUCUUCCUCGAUAAGGAAGACAGAAGAGUCAUUAAUCCUAUUUCGUAGAAUUAUUUUGUAAAAAAAAAAAAAAGAAAAAAAAAGUAAAUGUAUCGAAAAUUAUCCGGAAACGCUUGGUACCUCUUAUAAAUCAGGAUCGGUGCACUCCCUCUUUCCACGAUCAUGCCGUUUAGCGAGAAGUUUUCUGGCGGGGAAAAAAGGGAAAAGCACGCGAUUGCUAUUUAAAAGGCUCGUAGGUGGGUGGCUUUUUAGCCGAGGUAUAUACCGACGUAGGGAGAGGGCUUCGACUUCGCUCUUCGGCCUCGGUAUGGGGUUGCCGUGCUAUUUUCAGGCCGGUGGCUCGAUGCAGCUGUCGUGUUCUUCGGGUAAACCACCUCUCUUCUAUUCCAUGGUCACUCGCGGGACAAGGUAGAAUGUACAGAUUGGAAUUCUAAAUUCACGAUUCGCAAAUUCGUAAAGGAUGACGCACUUUCGCCAACACUCACCGAAAUUAGACGAUCGUAAUAAAAGAAACAUUAGGAUCAUUAUUAGAAUUUCGAAGCCUUUCACCUAUUCUUGAAAUCUAUUUCUUUUUUAUCUAUUCUUCUUUUCUAUAAUCAUCUUUAUUCAUUCGUUGUUUUUCUCUUUUCGAUAUUUCUGAUAUUUUCCAUUCUUUAUAUAAGUAACUUCUCUCUUGCAGGUUCUAGAAUGCGCAUUUUAAGUAUUAAUCAUAAUCUCUUUUAAUUUUUGUCGAAGAAGAAUUUUCUUCAAAUAACAAACGAAUGUAUUAUAUUUUUGUAGGGAAUAAAAAAAAAAGAAGAAAACGAUAAGAAAGAUAGAAUAGUAGAACUAUUUAAGUGAUUGCCUCCAGCAAAGCUACGAAAAGAAGAAGUGCGUGCUGGAGAAUGGAAGACAUGGAUGAAGAAGAUGACAAGAUUCGAAGAUCUUGGCAACGAGCCAGAAGAGAUUUUCAGUCGUCUACGUAUUUCCAACUUUCAUCUUCUAGCCGUCCUCUAGAACCUAGGGUGCAAUGACACCAGGUUUUAGAUGACAAUUUUCUAUUUACAGCACAAUAGAGAAAAUACAGAAAAAAAAAAAGAAAAAAAAGGAAAGAAAAAAGUAUUAGAAGAUUAAAAAAUAUCGACCGGAACGACCCUUAAUUUAGUUUCGGGUGCAAGAGGUUAACAGAGAGUGGGGGAUGUCAGUGGAAGUGCUUCUACGAAGGGAGAACACCGUCGUACGAAGCACGUUGGUUCAUGUUUGGAGGAAUGUCUUUGGGUAUAAAGGAGACAGUUCCUUCCGGAGACAGCGAACAGCCGCCUGUUUUACCCUUCUUGUCCCUCCCAUUUGUUCCCUUUCUGUAUAUCGUAUUUUUUUGCGAUUCAUCAUAUUCUUUACCACUUGUUUUUCUGUUAAUAUUAAAUAAUAAGAAGAUACUUUUAUUCAGAAUUUUUUUUUUUAAACAAAAACUUGUUUAUCUUGUUAUAAAUUUCAUUAAUAAAAAUCAUUAGAUUGCUAUUAUAAAAAUUCUUUCAAAUAUACAUUAUUUUGUAUCUUAUUAUUAUAAAUACAUGGAAGAAAUUAAGUGGUAAUUUAAUAAUUAGGAUUAUUAUCUAAAGAUUACAAUGCAUUUACAGUAAAAUUUCUACGGGAAUAAGCAAGUGUUGUAAUUCGGAGAUUAAUUGCACAUCGAUCAAAUUGUAGAACUAACCGGUUCGCAGGUGGCAAACAAGCAUGCAAAUCUAAAAAAGGGUUACGCACACGAGCACGUGCUCGCAUUUUGCAAAACCUUUUCAAAGCGAUCAGCUGGCUGUGCUCUUUCUUCCUUCCACCUCCCCGCUCUUAUCUUUUCCUACGGCAAGAAAAAAGAAUUAAAAUGGAUAAAAAUGAACGUGCACCCCCCUUCGUCCGCACCCGCAUCCUGUGCCAGUAUAGUGCUGCUUUCGUAAAAACCGGCCCGUCGGUUUUCAUUCAAAAUGUGCGAGUCACGAGGGCUCAUUCACAAAUUUCACGACGAAAUUCUACACUCAGCCGGACCGUCUGCGAUCUUGAUCGAGACAACAGAGACGAACGCAUAAGAGCGAGUACGAUCACGAAUAUUCUUUUUCUUGAAACCUCUUGUUGCUGGAUUUAUAUUCACGUGAUUCUUUCUUUCUUUUUUUUUUUUUGCAACAGAAAAAAAUCGGCGGUUCAUAAUGACGUACACGCUGCAUUUAAAUUGUUGUAACCGUAGUUUCUUCCAUUGGCUCGCGUACAGACCACGUGCCACACGUGAUCCUCCCUAGUUGAUUCCCUUUCUUCUAUUGCCAUCGUCCAGACAUCUUUAAAGAGGAGAUGAAAAAAAUUAAGGGGACGGAAGAAGAGGAAGUGGACUAGACGAUGAGGGAGCUGAGAUCGUAGCAUUAAACAGUACGCUGGUGGAUUCAUGGAAUUUCGUGAAACCCCGUUGCGUUUUUUAAAUAGAAAGAAGAAAGAUGAAAAAAGGAAAGAAAAAAUAUGUACCUGUGUUAUAACCUGUGUUCAUAUUGUAAUGAGAUUAUUGAUAUGUUGAUAUUUUUAAAAGCCUAGUGAUUACCCACACAAAUAUUCGUUCAUGGAAAAGCUGUAGGAGGGGUUAAAGGACAGGAGGGUCGCAGACACCGAGUCACCAGCGGCAACGGGCACGCGACCGACACGCGCCCUUCUUCCGUCUCUUUUCUUCCCAUCUUCCCCUUUUUCUACGCUUCUUUUUCCACAGCAGCUUCCCUUUGCCCGCACAUGUAUUCAUCUCUUAUACGUGAUCAUCUUGAGUUUACGUGCGCGUAUGGGAUGAAAGACUGGUGGUCUGCCACAUGAUUUAAGAUAGCAUAAUUUAGAAAUUAGUCAAGAAAUGUUAAUUAUUUCUGAUGUAUAAGAUAAUCAUAAAUAUAAUCACAAGAGGUCCAUUGAAGAAUCCAGGCACAAGAAGAUUGUACAUGAAUGCACGUACAACGACUUUAUCUUGACUACAACCUUAUCUUUAAGUAGUUUGAUACCGAUGAAUGUCUACUACGGGGUAACAUUAGAAAUCGCUUACUGAAAGAGCUUUGCUUUAAUGAAAUAAUAAAGAUCGUUUAAGGAAAUUUAAUCGAGCUAUAUUGAAUUUGUUUAAGAAUUAUAUUAUAUGUCAAUUCCGAAAAAAUAAUUAAGGUCGAUGAAGACGAAAAUGCAAUCUGUCGUCGCAACGAGGGAAAUCGGACAUCUCUAAGUAUAGCUCGUAUUUGCAUGCAGAUCAGGGACGGAUCGUAUUAGGUUGCCAAGCUAUUACAACGUUCAAUCUAUAAAGUUUGUAAUACUAAAAUUUUUAAUCUAUUUUUUUUCAUCUUAUUAUAACAUUUUUAUAAAUACUAGAAUAUCUUUGUUAUCAUGUUACAAUCUUUUCAUCAAUCUAAAAGCGUAAACAUAAAUAUUAUAUUUUGAAUAUUUUAUUAUGUUACAUAUAUAAGAAAAUUCAUUCAUGAUGUUUUAACAAUCGUUUAUAUGAACCAUUUCGACAACGAUUACGAACUUGGCAAUGUUUGGAAAGAAGUACCAUUACAUAUGUUACACAACUAAAUUCCUUCUUUGAACUUAGGGAUAUUAAUUUCAAAAUUUCUCAUUGAGAAAUAUUUUUUGCCAUAAUUAGAAAAUAUGUUACAUAGAUUUGUUAUGAGAAUGAGAUUCCUGUAUAAAAAUGAUCGUUUAUCGUCAUCGUACGAUGAUCGAAUGGAAUUUGCCAAUGAGGAAAAUGAGAAAGCUGUGCCAAGAACGUUUAAUGACACCUUUAUAUAAGACACUUCUUAAUGCUAGUAAAAUGUUGGUGAUACCUUUUGUUUGUAAACAUACAAUAAUUUGUAAUAAAAAGGAAAAAUCAUACAUUGUAAAGGAACAAGAUGAACAAAAAUUAAUUGAUAAAAGUGACAAAUAUUUUUGUCAUAUUAAUAAAAUAAAAAAAAAAUAAUAUAAAAUAAUGGUGUCAAAUAAUUAUAAUAAAAGAAGAUGAAUUAUAUGUAUAUAUACUUAAUAAUAUUUUAAAUCAGCUUGAAUUCAUAAAAUUGAAACUUUGACUAUUUUGCAAACUUCUGGCCGAUCACCAAUGAUUAACCAUUUAUAAUUACGAGGAUGCCAUAUCUUGGCACGUGACACGGCAUUUAUAGAUCGCGACUCAAUUUAAUCGUCGUCGUUUCGAUUAUUUUUCUAACUACCUGUCAUCAGAAGUGUGGAUCCGUGGAUCCAGUCGAUGCCAAUGAUCGAAAAAUAGAUCCAAGCGCAACCUGUUUGAAAUAGCUGGCGUGAAACCUGUAACGACUGCUGCGUGUGUGCCGUUAAUAUCAGUACGUUGAACGAUACUAGAUCGGUAUUAGAAUACCGACAAUUCAAAAGAUGAUAUUAAAUGACUAUUAUCUUUAACGAAUAUAUUUUAGAUUUUUUUAAAAUCUUUCAGGUUUUUUUAAACUAGCUUCUAUCAAUAAUUUUUUGCUGAAGAUUCUUCAGCUAUCAAAAAAGAAGGAAUUGAAUCGUGUCAAUUGGAAAACUUUCGACGGCGUUUCUAACCAGGUGAUAAACUGUGAUUCGCGGGGCAAAUGGAGAUUAUAUUCGAAGGUGUCUAAGCUAAAGGGAAGGAAAUCUAAUUAUAGAAGUCGUUGUACCGCGUGCUGAAAGUGGUGGAGGGUGUGAGUACGGGUGCACGAAUGAGAAUCGGUUGCAUUGGGCGGCCAUAAAAUGCAGGCUGCAUCCGCUUGGCGCAGAUGUACUUGGAACGGAGCUCCAGUACCACGACAAAACCAAAAGGAUCGUUUCGAGAUUCUAUACCCUAACUGAUAUCGAGGACAAUGAACUUGAAGUGUACGCGAUAGAAACAGAUUCCACGGAUUCUUAUUCGACUGAGGAUCGAUCGAAGGGAAGGAAUAUUAGAUAGUUCGUUACUCUAAACUAAAAAUCUAUCUUGAUCGCUUCCAGAUAUCUGGAAACUUUCGCUUCUACAUUCCUCCAUUAAUGCAGAAGGAUGUCAAAAUGUUUACCUGAUUUUUCGUUGUUGAAUAUGAGAGAUCAAAAGCUGCAAAUAUUUAGAAAAAAAGGGAAGAUGAAACUAACCAUUUAUAUUAUGGAUACAAUAUACUUGUAAUACAUAGUUUCAUCAGAAGAACAUCAACAACUUGGGUGGUUCUCUUAUCACAAGUAGCACAACUUCAUUAUGGGUAUACUAUUCAUUCAUGAACGAGAGAAGCCAUGUGGUUCAUUAAUCAAAAAAUACUUCCUGUUUCCAUGAUAAAAAAAAAUUGGAUGUCAUUGCAAAGACUGCUCUUUUAUGAAAUAUUAUAAAGCAACGAAAGCAACAAGUUUAUUUCCUCUUUUUUUUUAAAUAACUAUAUAAUAUAUAAAAUAUAUAAAAGUAUAUGAAUUUAUUGGUCUGGAGCCAAUGAAAGCAGAUUCCAAUAACGAAAAGUAAUGUUACCUGUCAUUAUAAUUUGUAACCAAAUGAAAAUCAAACUACCUGUGUCACAGUUUUAUACCGAUUAACUGUGACUUACGGGUGACACGUUUAUCGUCAAUCUUACCCGUACGAAUGAUUGGUCAUUUGAGUGCACCAGCUGUGAUAUUUCGCGCACGAUCGGCUCGUGCCGUUUGGACCGUGAUUAUUAUU